AACGAACGCUGGCGGCGUGCCUAACACAUGCAAGUCGUGCGAGAAAGUUCCUUCGGGAGCGAGUAAGGCGGCGCACGGGUGAGUAACACGUAGGUAACCUGCCCCCCAGUCUGGAACAACUAGAGGAAACUCUAGCUAAUGCCGGAUGAGACCACGAUCCCUUCGGGGGUUGCGGCCAAAGAUGGCCUCUACUUGUAAGCUAUCGCUGAGGGAUGGGCCUGCGGGCCAUUAGCUUGUUGGUGAGGUAACGGCUCACCAAGGCUGUGAUGGCUAGCUGGUCUGAGAGGAUGACCAGCCACACUGGGACUGAGACACGGCCCAGACUCCUACGGGAGGCAGCAGUGGGGAAUAUUGCGCAAUGGGCGAAAGCCUGACGCAGCGACGCCGCGUGGGUGAUGAAGGCC
rnacentral:rRNA from 1 species